GUCUUUAACUUUGCUUAUCUUCUAGAACGCACUACAAUUUCUUAGAUUUAUCUUUGAGAUCAAGAGCUUGAAAGUGGCUGAAAUGGAUGAACAAAGUGUCGAGAGCAUUGCUGAGGUGUUUCGCUGCUUCAUCUGCAUGGAGAAACUGAGAGAUGCUCGUCUCUGCCCACACUGCUCCAAACUCUGCUGCUUCAGCUGCAUACGACGAUGGCUGACGGAGCAGAGAGCCCAGUGUCCUCACUGUCC